rnacentral:piRNA from 1 species
UAAGAUCUCUUAUUGGUGUCUCCAAAAUGU